UAUCUUGAAAUGUAAUAUUGCAUUUGUUGUUUGCAUAACCGUAACCAUAACCGGCUAACUAUAACAAAAAAAAUCUAUUAGCUGGUUUUGGCACCAGUUGCUCUUUACAAAAUUACAUCAUUAAAAAGUGAAAGUAAUUUCCAAAACUCAUGGUAACAACUAAGAAGAAGACGACUCGGGCCCUUUACCAACUCUCGUCUUCUGAACAGAUAUCCACAAAGGCUCACACUACAUAUAUACGUUUUAGCCGGCUGAUCUUCUGAUCAUUUUUUGUCUAGUUAACACCCUGCAAAAAAAAAAUCACAUUAAGAAGACAAAAGCAAAGGAUCAGGAAACUGUUUAUAUCUCACAAUAACAGUUUCUAGGUAUAGUUUCUAGUGAUUUUAUUUUACCUGAAUGAAACAAAGAUUCGGACCUCUGCCGUAGAAUUCCAUGUAUUUCAACAUAAACAUUCCACACUCAAAUAUAGAAAAACAGAGAAACAAGUUAUACACAUCUACUGUAGACAUAUGACCCAGUAGCUACUAGCUAGCAUAAAUUAUAGUAGGAAAAAGGAUAGCAUACCCAUUACUCGGCUCAUGAAGGUCCUGUACAGGCCAUAAACAAAGGAAAGAUCGAAGCUUUAAUGGCAAAUUUUCAACAAAAACAUGAGAACAAGCCAAAACUCAAAUAUAUUAAUGUAAACCACCAGAAAAAAUAAGUGCGAGAGCGUACAAGCAAUAAACAACAAAAAAGAACAAAUAUUUAGUGACAGUUUUCUAGCAGAAUCAUAGAUGACAAGACUCAGUACAUUAAUCAAGUGCAGGAGUGCAUGAAAAAAU
rnacentral:lncRNA from 1 species